GCUCCCCAGGAGACCAAGGCAGACGGUAAAUGGGAGCAAAGUCAGGAGGCACGAGGGGGCAAGCGUGAGGACCCCAGGAGAGAUAGGCCUCAUACAAGGAAGGACGCGCUGGUUAAACCAGAGUGGCCCUGAGUCGCCCGGCUCAGCCCCCUGGAGCUUCUACCCUCCCAGAUCCUACUGGGCCAGUCCCUGGGGUCAGCUCCCGCCGCCUGCCACCCCCCCAGGCGGGUCCAAUCGCAACGACGCGGAUUCCCCCGCGACUCUGAAUCCCUUUAAAAGUUAGUCCCCAAGUAAACCGCUCUUUCUCACUUGGGAAGCGGGGUCAUCUCCGGAGGAGGCUUCGAGGACAGACGCGGUUGCCCUCUUCCACCCCCUGGAAACAACAAUGGGCGAGCGGCCGAAAGAGAACAAGUGAAUCAAGGGUGGAAAAUCCCCCAAUCCUGCAAUGUCAAGGCUGGGCGCACGGUGCGGUGACAGGCGGCUGCGGUGCUGCCCCCACGCGCCCUUCCUCGGGACUGCAGACCUGGAGGGAGGGGCGGCACGGGUUGAUCUCCUGGUUCUCAGACUCUGAGGCGCUUGGCAGGGGGGAAGGGAAAGCUCAAGUUUGCGUUCUUGAGGCUAUUUUAGGUUCACAGGAAAUUACAUUUCAUUUCUAAAGCCGAAAUCGUCUCACUGCUUGCAUUUUCCCGAAGCAGAAUACAAUGACUUGGGGUUUUUUUGAUCAUCACAUCCUACCACUAGCCAUGUUCUUUUCUUUUUCUUGGUCAUUAAGCCAGAGAUCCUACAUUAAGGCGUUUGUGAAGUGGAUAUUUAGGGGACAAAAACAGUUACGGAGCCAAAGUGUGGAGAUUGAUUUUCCCGAACUAUGAACACCCUCAAGGCUGGCCACUGGCUCCAGCAAACCGUCGCCUGCCUUAUACACAGUCUUAGGACUGUGGGGAACCUUGGCUAACAGGACGAUCGAGUGGGAAGGGAAAGGAAACAGCGGAUGAGGAGCACCAGGAGCUUGGCACUUGAAAUCAACACUGCCCUUUGAUGUGCCCUUUGGUGGAGUUUCUGCUGGUUUGUCAAGGGGUGACACUGAGCUCAAAGUAGGUCGAUGUGGCGCCAGUGGGCAAUGGGGGCAGGGGAGUCUGCAUACCAUCCUGCUUCCAAAGGUCGACUGAUUCCCCUAAAGCAAAUGGCCUCAGGAUUUGUGGCUUCUCUUUUUUUGUUCGUUUUUUGUUUGUUUGUUUGUUUGUUUGGGCUGCACCUGAGCAUAUGGAAGUUCCCAGGCUAGGGGUAGAAUCAGAGCUAGAGCCACCCACCUACACCACAGCCACCGUAACACAGGAUCUGAUACACCGCAACACAACGCAACGCUGGAUACUUAACCCAGUGAGCAAGGGUAGGGAUUGAACCCUCAGCCUCAUGGAUCCUAGUUGGGCUCGUUAACCACUGAGCCACAUAGGGAAUUCCUCACUUAAAUCAAAAGGGAUAACAAUAAAAUCCCACCAUCUAGGAAGAUUUUCUUCCCCCAAGAGAAUCUAGGAAGAAAGGGCUUCUAAACUAAAUAAGGGGUUCCCUCUGAGCCAUUCUGGCAGGUGCAAAGCUGGAUUAAACAGCUUCCCUGGGAGUAGCAGUUAAGCCAUGAGUCAGGUUGCUCUGGCUCCCGUCUUGACUCAUGGGAGGAGCAGCUACCCACCAGGGACCCUAUACUAGGCCCUCUACCUUCUCUGGGUCUCAGUUUCCCCAUUGGGACAAUAAGAUUGUUACAAGAUGGGGCCAGAGACCAAACACUGACACAGAAGACCGUGAGAAGUGGUCGCAUUGUGCCCCAGUCCCCUGCCCGCACCCCCCCGCCCCCCCCCCCCGCCAAGGGAGCAGAUGGGACUUCGAGGGUGAGUAAGGGCCAGGCAGGGCAGGAUCAGAAUCCCAGCUCUGCUGACUCUCACAAGAGUGACUGGAGCUCAACUAGGCCAGGAGGAUACCUAGGGUCUCCACGUCCAGGCCCAGACAUCCAGGGAUGAGAGGACAGGGUGGCCAAGGGAGAGGCUUUUGCUCAGGCUUUGUCUCCCUGCUCUCAUGGGUCAGGAGAGGAAGCAUCAGAGAGAGGAGACCACCAGCCAGCCAUGUGACUUUGGCCAGUGUCUUCACUCUCUGAACCUCAGUUUUCUCUUCUGUAAAAUGGGUGGCAGGAGUUCCCGUUGUAGCGCAGCGGAAACGAAUCCCACUAGAAACCAUGAGGUUGCAGGUUUAAUCCCUGGCCUCACUCAGUGGGUUAAGGAUCUGGCUUUGCCAUGAGCUGUGGUGUAGGCCAGUGGCUACAGCUCCGAUUAGACCCCUAGCCUGGAACCUCAAUAUGCCAGGAGUUUGGCCCUAACAGCAAAAAAAAAAAAAAAAAAAAAAAAAAAUGGGUGUCAGACUCUACUCUGGAGACUCACUGAUGGGAUCAGAAAUGACACAUCUGCAGUGAAUGGUGCCCCAUAUCUCUGGAUAUAGAACACCCCUCAGUUAUGGGAGUUCCUCUUGUGGUCUAGUAGAAAUGAAUUAGACUAGUAUACACAAGGACGAGGGUUCGAUCCCUGGCCUCACUCAGUGGGUUAAGGAUCUGGCAUUGCUGUGGCUGUGGCGUGGGCCAGCAGCUGCUUCUCUGAUUUGACCUCUAGCCUGGGAACUUCCAUAUGCUGUGGGUGC
rnacentral:lncRNA from 1 species